UACGAGAGCCUCAAGCGUUAUCCGGAAUUAUUGGGCGUAAAGGGUGUGUAGGCGGUAAUGUUAGUCUCAUGUCAAAGCCUGUCGCCAAACGACAGAUCCGCAUGGGAAACGGCAUAACUAGGAGGGUGCGAGAGGUGAAUGGAACUCACGGUGUAGGGGUGAAAUCCGUUGAUAUCGUGGGGAACGCCAAAAGCGAAGGCAAUUCACUGGCGCAUACCCUGACGCUGAAAACACGAAAGCCAGGGU
rnacentral:rRNA from 1 species